GACGAACGCUGGCGGCGUGCUUAACACAUGCAAGUCGAACGGAAAGGCCCUGCUUUUGUGGGGUGCUCGAGUGGCGAACGGGUGAGUAACACGUGAGUAACCUGCCCUUGACUUUGGGAUAACUUCAGGAAACUGGGGCUAUUACCGCAUAGGAGCUCCUGCUGCAUGGUGUGGGUUGGUAAGUUUCGGCGGUUGGGGAUGGACUCGCGGCUUAUCAGCUUGAUGGUGGGGUUGUUGCUUACCAAGGCUUUGACGGGUAGCCGGCCUGAGAGGGUGACCGGCCACAUUGGGACUGAGAUACGGCGCAGACUCCUACGGGAGGCAGCAGGGGGGAAUAUUGCACAAUGGGCGGAAGCCUGAUGCAGCAACGCCGCGUGCGGGAUGACGGCCUUCGAGUGGUAAACAGCUUUCGCCUGUGACGAAGAGUGAGUGACGGUAAUGGGUAAAGAAGCACCGGCUAACUACGUG
rnacentral:rRNA from 1 species